UGGGGGAAUAUUGCACAAUGGGCGCAAGCCUGAUGCAGCAACGCCGCGUGAGGGACGACGGCCUUCGGGUUGUAAACCUCUUUUAGUAGGGAAGAAGCGAAAGUGACGGUACCUGCAGAAAAACGCACCGGCUAACUACGUGCCAGCAGCCGCGGUAAUACGUAGGGUGCGAGCGUUGUCCGGAAUUAUUGGGCGUAAAGAGCUCGUAGGCGGUCUGUCGCGUCUGCUGUGAAAACCCGAGGCUCAACCUCGGGCCUGCAGUGGGUACGGGCAGACUAGAGUGCGGUAGGGGAGAAUGGAAUUCCUGGUGUAGCGGUGGAAUGCGCAGAUAUCAGGAGGAACACCGAUGGCGAAGGCAGUUCUCUGGGCCGUAACUGACGCUGAGGAGCGAAAGCGUGGGGAGCGAACAGGAUUAGAUACCCU
rnacentral:rRNA from 1 species